CACGUAGGGGGCAAGCGUUGUCCGGAUUUAUUGGGCGUAAAGAGCUCGUAGGUGGCUUAGUAAGUCGGGUGUGAAACCUCCAGGCUCAACCUGGAGACGCCACCCGAUACUGCUAUAGCUUGAGUCCGGUAGGGGAGCGUGGAAUUCCUGGUGUAGCGGUGAAAUGCGCAGAUAUCAGGAGGAACACCGAUGGCGAAGGCAAUCCCCUGGGCCUGCACUGACGCUCAUGCACGAAAGCGUGGGGAGCAAACAGG
rnacentral:rRNA from 1 species